rnacentral:rRNA from 1 species
UACGAAGGGGGCUAGCGUUGCUCGGAAUUACUGGGCGUAAAGCGCACGUAGGCGGGUCGUUAAGUCGGGGGUGAAAUCCUGGAGCUCAACUCCAGAACUGCCUUCGAAACUGACGAUCUUGAGUUCGGGAGAGGUGAGUGGAACUGCGAGUGUAGAGGUGAAAUUCGUAGAUAUUCGCAAGAACACCAGUGGCGAAGGCGGCUCACUGGCCCGAUACUGACGCUGAGGCACGAAAGCGUGGGGAGCAAACAGG